UUGGAAAUUAAGUGUGAUGUACUUUCUCACUCUUGAACCUUUGAAUCGCCCACUUUCCUAAAGCAGAACAAACACCUUCCUUAUGCUGUUUGUUUUGAUUUGUUAUAGACCUUGGUAAUUCAACACUUACAUCAGCUGUCAUGACUGCCUCAGAGCCCCAGUCAACAUCUUUGGCCUCUCUGGAUUUCACAAGUCAAGCAAACUUGGCUCCUGCUUCCAUAACACAAGCAGGAGCACUGGCUUUUAAUGCAGAGACAAAAAGCUACACCAGCGCCGCAGCA
rnacentral:lncRNA from 1 species